GAUGAACGCUGGCGGCGUGCCUAAUACAUGCAAGUCGAGCGAAUGGAUUAAGAGCUUGCUCUUAUGAAGUUAGCGGCGGACGGGUGAGUAACACGUGGGUAACCUGCCCAUAAGACUGGGAUAACUCCGGGAAGCCGGGGCUAAUACCGGAUAACAUUUUGAACCGCAUGGUUCGAAAUUGAAAGGCGGCUUCGGCUGUCACUUAUGGAUGGACCCGCGUCGCAUUAGCUAGUUGGUGAGGUAACGGCUCACCAAGGCAACGAUGCGUAGCCGAGCUGAGAGGGUGAUCGGCCACACUGGGACUGAGACACGGCCCAGACUCCUACGGGAGGCAGCAGUAGGGAAUCUUCCGCAAUGGACGAAAGUCUGACGGGGCAACGCCGCGUGAGUGAUGAAGGCUUUCGGGUCGUAAAACUCUGUUGUUAGGGAAGAACAAGUGCUAGUUGAAUAAGCUGGCACCUUGACGGUACCUAACCAGAAAGCCACGGCUAACUACGUGCCAGCCGCCGCGGUAA
rnacentral:rRNA from 1 species